GCCUGGCUUGCUCAGUCAGUAGAGCAUGUGACUCUUGAUCUUGGAGUUGUGAGUUCAAGCCUCACAUUAGGUG
rnacentral:tRNA from 1 species